GAGGGUAUAGCUCAAAUGGUAGAGUGCAUGCUUAGCAUGCAUGAGGUCCUGGGUUCAAUCCCCAGUACAUCCU
rnacentral:tRNA from 1 species